AUGCCCUGCCCCAUAAUCGCGUAUUAUUAGUUCUAUAUAUCUUUCUUUUUGUCGAACACUAAUUAAUUUCAUCUUUAAAAGGGGCCAUUAAUGCUAAUUUACCACCACCAAGCUCACACCAAUAAUCCUGGCAAGCUAAAACUCCUAAUUCUUCCAGCUAUACCCAUGAAAAUGAAGAGAAGUAUGCUUGCAUGGAUUUUCUUCAUGAUUUGUUUUACGCUUCUUUCAUAUUAUGCAUGUGAAAGUUCUUUUACUCCUCGAUUCAACAAGCCACUGCAAAGGGAAAAUCAAAAUAAGAAUGAAAUGCAUCUAGAAGCAGGAAGUUUACAAAGACGUGCAAGAGGAGUUUAUGGCGGUGGAGAUCUCCUUCGUCCUCGUACCGGCCACCGGAAUGGAGCAGGCUCGUUGCCGUUGAGACCCUCUUCAUUCCUCUCCACCUUAUCCAAACACGUUGCAGUUGGAUUGAUCAUCUCUGUUUUCUUAAUUUUUUGAAAGCUAAUCACCACGGAACCUGAGAGCAUGAAGUAGGGUCUAGCAAACAACGAUCUGUAAGGAAUUAGGCCUGCUUAGUGUCAAUCGUACGUUAUUAGUGCAAACAAACGAUACAAUUCAAGAAUUAGGACUGUUUAGUGUCAAUCGUACGUUAUUGGGGAAACAAACUCAUCUGCAGAAUUUAGGAUUUGUUGUGUACAAGGUUUGUAUCCUUAAUGAUAGCUAACGGUUCGAAGUAAUAUUUUGGGUUUAAGGAGUCAUCUUUA